rnacentral:rRNA from 1 species
ACAGCAGUCGCCGCGGUAAUACGAAGGGGGCUAGCGUUGCUCGGAAUUACUGGGCGUAAAGGGCGCGUAGGCGGACAUUUAAGUCAGAGGUGAAAGCCCAGGGCUCAACCUUGGAACUGCCUUUGAUACUGUCGAUCUCGAGUCCGGAAGAGGUGAGUGGAACUCCUAGUGUAGAGGUGGAAUUCGUAGAUAUUAGGAAGAACACCAGUGGCGAAGGCGGCUCACUGGUCCGGUACUGACGCUGAGGUGCGAAAGCGUGGAGAGCAAACAGGAUUAGAUACCCGAGUAGUCCCUGUCUCUUAUAC